UUUUUGACGCAGAAUGUAGUGCACACUAUAUGCACGCCGAAACAAGCCCGGCGCCUCGAAAUUCGCCAACAUUUACCCGAUUUCUCCGAAAAUUAAUCGUUAUUUCGUUACUUUUUGAGAUAUUUCGACGUUUAAACGUACAUUUUACUCCAUUUUAGACGCAGAAUGUAGUGCACACUAUAUGCAGGACAGAGACAAGCACAGAAGCUCGAAAUUCGCAACCAUUUCCUCGAUAUUGACGAAAAUUUAUCGUUAUUUCGGU
rnacentral:misc_RNA from 1 species